rnacentral:rRNA from 1 species
GAUGAACGCUGGCGGCGUGCUUAACACAUGCAAGUCGAACGGAAAGGCUCCUGCUUGCAGGGGUACUCGAGUGGCGAACGGGUGAGUAACACGUGGGUGAUCUGCCCUGCACUUCGGGAUAAGCCUGGGAAACUGGGUCUAAUACCGGAUAGGACGAUGGUUUGGAUGCCAUUGUGGAAAGUUUUUCGGUGUGGGAUGAGCUCGCGGCCUAUCAGCUUGUUGGUGGGGUAAUGGCCUACCAAGGCGUCGACGGGUAGCCGGCCUGAGAGGGUGUACGGCCACAUUGGGACUGAGAUACGGCCCAGACUCCUACGGGAGGCAGCAGUGGGGAAUAUUGCACAAUGGGCGCAAGCCUGAGGCAGCGACGCCGCGUGGGGGAUGACGGCCUUCGGGUUGUAAACUCCUUUCGCUAGGGACGAAGCGAAAGUGACGGUACCUGGAGAAGAAGCACCGGCUAACUACGUG